ensembl:rRNA 5S_rRNA 5S ribosomal RNA
GCCAGCAGCCAUAUCACCCUGCAGUUCUCAACUGGCUACCCACUGAAGCUAAGCAGGUCUGAGCUGGUCAGUACCUGCAUGGGAGACCUCCUGAGAAGCUAUGGUUGCUGGUGGAA